ACUGGGCGCAGUGGUGCAUGCCUGUAAUCCCAGUGACUCCGGAGGCUGAGGCAGGAGGAUCACAUGUUUGAGGCCAGCCUCAGCAAUUCAGUGAGGCCCUAAGCAAGUUAAUGAGACCCUGUUUCAA
rnacentral:sRNA from 1 species